rnacentral:rRNA from 1 species
GAUGAACGCUAGCGACAGGCUUAACACAUGCAAGUCGAGGGGCAUCAAGUAGAUAGCUUGCUAUUUAUGUUGGCGACCGGCGCACGGGUGAGUAACGCGUAUGCAACCUACCCAUCAGAGGGGGAUAGCCCGGCGAAAGUCGGAUUAAUACCGCAUAAAACAGGGGCUCCGCAUGGAGAUAUUUGUUAAAAAUUUAUUGCUGAUGGAUGGGCAUGCGUUCCAUUAGAUAGUUGGUGAGGUAACGGCUCACCAAGUCUGCGAUGGAUAGGGGUUCUGAGAGGAAGGUCCCCCACACUGGUACUGAGACACGGACCAGACUCCUACGGGAGGCAGCAGUGAGGAAUAUUGGUCAAUGGGCGGGAGCCUGAACCAGCCAAGUCGCGUGAAGGAUGAAGGAUCUAUGGUUCGUAAACUUCUUUUAUUGGGGAAUAACGGGCAGUACGUGUACUGUAGACGAAUGUACCCAUAUGAAUAAGCAUCGGCUAACUCCGUGCCAGCAGCCGCAGUAAAAC